rnacentral:rRNA from 1 species
GACGAAGGAUGCAAGCGUUAUCCGGAUUCAUUGGGUUUAAAGGGCGCGUAGGCGGAUUUGUAAGUCAGUGGUGAAAUCUCCGGGCUCAACCCGGAAACUGCCAUUGAUACUGCAGGUCUAGAGUACAGUUGCCGUUGGCGGAAUAUGACAUGUAGUGGUGAAAUACUUAGAUAUGUCAUAGAACACCGAUUGCGAAGGCAGCUAACGAAGCUGUAACUGACGCUGAGGCUCGAAAGUGCGGGGAUCAAACAGG